rnacentral:lncRNA from 1 species
CCCAACGACACCGCGUACGGCGUCAACCUUUUCACCCCGACCACCACCUCCACCGUCUCCGCCUGGCUCCAUCGCCACCCGCCCCGCUCCGUGGUCUACGUCUCCUUCGGCAGCAUGGCCGACCUCGACCCCUCCCAGUUCGCUGAGCUCGCCCACGGCCUUGCCCUCGCUGGCCACCCCUUCAUCUGGAUCGUCCGAUCUACCGAGCAGCACAAGCUCCCUCGGGAUCUGAUGGACUCGAUCCCCUCGGAGGAAGCUCUAAUACUCCCGUGGUGCAAUCAACUGGAGGUCCUCGAGAGUGAUGCGAUCGGAUGUUUUGUCACGCACUGCGGGCUCAGCUCAGUGGUCGAAGCGAUCUGCCUGGGGGUCCCGAUGGUGGCGAUGCCUCAGUGGACGGACCAGCCGACGAACGCCAAGUUCGUGGAGGAUGUGUGGAGGGUCGGGGUCAGGGCUAGGGCCGACGAGGCAGGGGUCGUUGGGAGAGAGGAGGUGGAGAGGUGCGUGAGAGAGGUGGUGGGAGGAGGAGGGAGAGGGAGAGAGGUGACGGAGAGCGCGAGGAUGUGGAUGGAGACGGCGAAGGCAGCGAUGGCAGAAGGCGGGAGCUCGGAUCGGAACAUCGAUGAGUUCGUGGAGGAGCUUGUGAGUCGUGCAUCAGUAGAGUAGAAGUGUGACAUCCUAAAUUUUCCUUCUAUAUAUUAUGUGGGCAAUUAUUUUGUUAUAUGGAAAUUAAAUUUUAGACUAAAAUUAAGGUAAAACACCAUUAUGGUGUCAAAGAUGAGUCUUAUCUCGUACAAAGUAUAAAGUAUGCUCAACAUUUUAUUUGGCAUUAGAUUGAGCGUUCCUUGGAUUACAUAAAUUUUAAUGGAAGUUUUUUUAUAAUUAUAAAAGUGCCACUAAAUUAAUAAUAUUAGGACAAUGCCAUGUCGUGGCAUGAUUAUUAUACAUUGAAAAUGCCUAAACAUACCUUUAGAUUACGCAAACAUUAAUUAAUCUAUACAUAAGGCUCAUAUGCUUUCACAUAUUUAUUAAUAUCUCUUUCUUCCCCUCUCUCAUAGCCACUUAUCACCCAUAUAAGUUGCCGCAUUUCCUAAAUUCCUAACCAUAUGUUUUAAUCAAGAGAUGACAUCAUCAUGAUAUCACCUUAACCUUGGUUAGUUGAUACAUUGAAUGUAAAAAAAUUGUGACUUAUUUCUUAUUUCCUUACUAACCACUUGUUACUAAAAUCUAACGCCUUAUUCCUCACCUUGUCUAGAUGGCAUCAUCAUGAUAUCACCUUAACCUUGGUUAGUUGAUACAUUGAAUGUGAAAAAAUUGUGACUUAUUUCUCAUUUCCUUACUAACCACUUUUUACUAAAUCUAACGCCUUAUUCCUCACCCUGUUUGCUGAUCUAAAAACUUAAGCUAAUUGGGGAGGCAAAUGGGCUUUGGUAAGAUUUGAACUCAAGACCUCCAGUUCUGAAGCAAUGUGAGAUUUAAUGCGAUCAUUGCUAAUUGUUCUAAAAAUUUAAGCUAUUAGAUUAAGGCACAAUUUAUUAUUUAAAUAUUCUAACAAAGAUAUCUCAUGUAUCCAAGAGCCAUGGUUCAAAGAGUCUCCAUUUAGGAUACAUUGACAACACUAGCAUAAGCAAGUUUAGCUAUUCCAUCUUAUCAAUCAAGGUUUCAACUUGAUAUUUGCUGCAAAUAAAAUCAAAGAUUAUACCUAAUUCAGUGAUAAUGUUACCAAAUUUGAACUCGAUGGAUGGCUUGCGAGGGUGGUGGCGGGCAGUGUGCUCACGGUGUUCGGCGAAGGACACUUGGUGUGGGAAGCCCAGCUCGGUGGGGCUUGCGAAUUGGGACUUGUUAAGGCUGUGCAAUGUCAGGUUGGUGAUGGCUGGUUGUGGCUCGUUUCCAUGGCGCCUCGGCUCAGGCCGUCUCUUGGUGGAGAGUGGGCCGUAGCGAUUGCUUCGUCAGGAAACUUGCAAAAUUAGAGAACAACCCUGAGGUGGCUGAGCAAUAGCGGCGUUGUGGGAUGGAGUUGGAUGGCGGGGCAGUGAGGUCGGCGAGACCGAUGCAGCGCCGGUGGGGGCAGGGACUGGGACUGGUGGCAAAGGCAAUGAUGGGUGACGGCUCGGCAAGUGUGGCACUGCGGACCAGCAGAGGAACAACAACGGGCCGCUGUGAUCGUGGACCAGUGUCGCGGGUUUGAGCAGGCUGCGACGUUGGUGUGGUUUGCAGUAAAGCUCGGUCCGACGCCAUUGGAGGAAGCAGUAGUGACAACAAUGUCACUGAGGCAAAGGAAACAGCGAAGCCGGCCAGUGACUGCUCUGUUGAGGGGGUCACGGCCAAGAAGGACCUGGCCUGGCCGUAGUUUGCGGUGACAAGGAAGAACAGCCGAGAAAGGGGGUAUCGAUCGGGGCUCCCUCACCCUCUCUCUCAAUCUCUUACUUGUGUUUUUUGAAUUCUCUAUUGUGAAUUGACGAGUUAUGAGGCAUAGAUGCAUAUUUAUAAUGCUUACUUAGGUUUAAUUCACUCUUGCGGGCUUAAUUUCGUCCUUACAACUUGAUGAGCUCUAAUAAAGAGAUCUCUAAUUUGGAAACUCGUGGUCACUUGUUCAAAUCCAAUCAUUUGAAUGCAAACUACUUCGAGCCAUAGUCACUUUUAUAGGCGGACCGAAUUGGUUUAUGAAAUUUAUAGGAUAUUUCAUAGAUCUCUCUACUACUGCGCUUGUAUAGUUAGAAAGAUUUAUAGAUUGCUUCCGACGAGUUUCAUAGAUGACAUCUCUUUAGCGCUUACAAGUAUACAGCUCCAACUCUAGAGAAAGAGAGAGAAGUGACCUAAUGGAGCCUUCAAGCAAAACUCCACCGAGCUCAUGUGCUGAUCCUCCCUUUCCCCGCCCAAGGCCACAUAAAUCCCAUGCUCCAAUUCUCCAAGCGCCUCGUCUCCAAAGGCCUCAAAGCCACCCUCGCCCUCACCGUCCACCUCGCCGGAUCCAUGCAGGCCGACCCCUCCUCAUCCAUCGACCUCAAUUGUUCACUUUAUUUUGAAAAAAUCUACACACGUGUUUUAUCCUGAAUUUAAUUAAGAAAUUAGUUAUUCAUCUCGACAUGAAAAUCGUUCCCUCUCUCUCUCUCACCAAUGAGAUUAGGUUGUCGACUGGAUGUCCGCCAAUCUGUGGCCGCCAAAGACCGUAGGCCCCACCCUUCCCUCCCUCUACCUGGACAAGCGCCUCCCCAACGACACCGCGUACGGUGUCAACCUUUUCACCCCGACCACCACCUCCACCGUCUCCGCCUGGCUCCGUCGCCACCCGCCCCGCUCCGUGGUCUACGUCUCCUUCGGCAGCAUGGCCGACCUCGACCCCUCCCAGUUCGCUGAGCUCGCCCACGGCCUUGCCCUUGCUGGCCACCCCUUCAUCUGGAUCGUCCGAUCUACCGAGCAGCACAAGCUCCCUCGGGAUCUAAUGGACUCGAUCCCCUCGGAGGAAGCUAUAAUCUUCCCGUGGUGCAAUCAACUGGAGGUCCUCGAGAGCGAUGCGAUCGGAUGCUUUGUCACCCAACUGCGGGCUCAACUCAGUGAUCGAGGCGAUCUGCCUGGGGGUCCCGAUGGUGGCGAUGCCGCAGUGGACGGACCAGCUGACGAACACCAAGUUCGUGGAGGAUGUGUGGAGGGUCGGGGUCAGGGCUAGGGCCGACGAGGUAGGGGUCGUUGGGAGGGAGGAGGUGGAGAGGCGCGUGACGGAGGUGGUGGGAAGAGGAGAGUGAGGGAGGGAGAUGGCGGACAGCACGAGGAGGUGGAUGGCAGCAGCGAAGGCGGCGAUCGCGGAAGGCGGGAGCUCCGACCGGAACAUCGAUGAGUUCGUGGAGGAGCUGAUGAGUCGUGCGUCGAUAGAGUAGUAGAAGAACAAUACAUAAGAUUGAUUCGAGUAUUUAUGUCAAAGUAAGGUUUGAGAUCACAAUCACCGCCCUAUGCGGCUGGAUUCUUCAUGAUGGACAUACUAAUAUGGCCUCUCUUUUCCUCGCUUUUUUCAUACAAAAAAAAAGGACAAGAUUAAAGGAAGAAAAAUCUAGGGCAGGACAUAAUGAGGGUAAUCUUGAUUCUCAAGUACCAGAAUAAGAAGAAAAAUGAAAACAUUCUUCUAGGAUGAUAGACAAUCAUGGUUUCAAGCGAUUGUGAAUUGAAAGUAACAAGAUGAUAAACUUUCGAGAUACAUAUGUGAAUUAUAUUAGAAAAAUUCCAAUUAGCGAUUUCCUCAAACGAAGGUAUCGAAUUUUUGUUGCACAUGUCCAGCAUAAACAAUCACGAAUGAAACGAGCAUGUUUCAAGGUUGUAACACUUUUUCCCUCCUUCUACAAGAAUGAAAUGGAAAUGAAAAUCCUUCACCACGUUAAUACCUGCUUGUCGGCCUCUAUGCGCAUCUACUUGGCAUUCGUUUCGCGGUCGUUGCACUUGGUUCGGUGAUAUGAACGUUGUCAUGCAAGAAUUGCAAUAUGAUAAACAGUGAUAUGCUCUCAACUUUUGGGUCGCGAUCCUGUUUUUCUCGACAAUCUCUUAUUUGACGGACAAUUCCCUACGAUAACAGGGCCGCAAAUUGUAGCCAUGCACCUUGUAAUCAGAUUAAGAUCGCUAGAUGCGUCUGAUCAUAUCUCAUAUAUAGUGGAUAAGACUGAGCAUAUGCUCAGCAUUUCAUCACUAGUCACUACUAAGUAGCUGCACGUUACUUGCGACUAGACGUCAAUCUUCUUUUCAGAUAACAAAGUUUGACCGUCAAUUUGGCCGCCGAAAGCGAAAACCCAAAAAUUUCACAAUCCACAAAAUUAUUUUUAAAGAUAAGCAUGGAGUUGACCUGUUGACCCAUCAAAGUGGGACUUUCCAAAGUCAUGUUCCGCCAAUAACGAGAAGAAGAUGAGUAGACACGGUUUAGGAUUUUAUAUAAAUGCUUCCAAUGUGGAGUUUGAGUAGAAAUAGUUUGCUUAAAAAUGAAUAUGUAGAUCGAAGUGGUUGUACCAUACGGCGAAAGUUCGGGUAUGGCGUGACGCUUUGAAUUCUCAAUAACGUCGAGUUCAUCGACAAUAGUGAUUAUUGCAUGAACACCAAUUAGUAAUCGAUCACGGGGUAGGUGUGAUCGUCGCCGGCCGAUCAGAGUAACUGGCAAAAAUAUUAUGCGUAGAAAAAAAUGAGCAGAAAAUCUUCAACACCGAUCACUUUCCUCGGGAAGUGUUUUGUCUUGCGUAUGUCUCAAAGGGAUUGCGCAAUCGCUUGACUAAGGCCCUAUUUGUUUAUUUUUAUUUAUGUUUCCCAUAGUAAAAAUUUAUGUUCUUUUGUUCCAGGGAACAAAAAAAAGAACAUAAAUAUGUUUGGUAAAACUUUUUGUUCUCGGGAAUAGAUUUGGAAUAGAAACAAGAAAUAGAAAAAAGUUGUUUCUUGUUUCAGGAAUAAUUCCGAGAAACAAUUUUUCUCUUUCCUCUUUUUUUCUUCUUCUUCUUUCUUUUGCCGGUCACCAGCCUUGGCCAUGGCUGACGUCGGCAAUCGGCAGGGCUGGCGACCUUGCCGGCCCUAGGAGAUGCCAAGCCAAUGCGAGGCUUGGCGUCGCCAAGCUAGGGCGAGGUCGACCUUGCGCUGCCUUGGUGAGGUUGAGCCUCAUUGGUGGCCUCGGUGGCCAGGCGAGCCUCGUGAGGCCACCGACGAGGUUCGACCUUGGCCAGGAGGCGCGAGGCUCGCCUGGCCACCGAGAUCAUUGGUGAGGCUCGGCCUAGCGAGGCUUCGGUGAGCUUGCCCAGUCGGUCGCCGGCUGCCGCCGUGGCUGGCGACCGGCCAUAAAGAGAAAGAAGAAGGAAGAAAGAAGAAAGAAGAAAGAAAGAAGAAAAAAGGAAAAAAAAUAUUGAAAAAUAUUGAAAAACUAAAAGAAAGAACAAAAUUAUACAAUUUUACCAAACACAUUUCUAUUCUUGGAGUAGAAAUUUUUUGUAGUUACCAAGCGCGUUCUUAUACUUAGAAAUUGUUCCCGGCGACAGAAACAAAAAAAAACUAUGUCUGUUCAAAAAUUGUUGCUCGGAGCAGAAACGUUAUCAAAUGCGCUUUAAUAUGCUCUGAUUUCCCUAAUAAAAAAUUAAGGCUGGAGGACCACUCACCAAAACCCUAAUUGACUAUAUUUGAAAGUCUUCUCUCUCUACAAAUAAGAUGCACGUUCACAAAUGUCAUUAGUGGUUCAGUAUCUUUUUGUGAGUUCAGUACCUGCCGCAUGUUUCUUCAUAGAAUAUGGAUUCCGUCCAAAAAAAUUAAUAAUUUGAAAAAUAUAAUUCUGUGAAGAUAAGGGAUUGCGCAAUCGUUUGACUAAUAUGCUAUGAUUUCCCUAAUAAAAAUUAGGGCUGGAGGACCACUCACCAAAACCCUAAUUGACUAUAUUUGAAAGCCUUCUCUCUCUAUAUUAGCAAAUUGGGUUUAUACUAAAGGGCAUAAUUGUCAUUGUAUUGUUUUAGCCCUAAACCCUAUGUAUAUAUUGUAAAUUACUUCAUCAAUGCAAGUGAGUUUGCCCAAUCUCUACAUGGUAUCAGAGCGGCGAUCCUUGGAGCCCAUCUCUCACGUCUCGAAGUGGCCAUAGCAUUGAUGCCGAUCAAGUGCUAAGGAUUUUUUUUUCACUCCAAGUUCAAGGCCUCCCUCUCGCUCAGUGCUUUGCUCUUUCGAUCUCAUCUCAAGUCUUGACUCUUGCCUCUUCUCACAAGUUCAAGAGCCAAUCGUGAGUCACAAUUUGUGAUGACAAUCACAUCAGAGGCUGGGUAUCACAAUUUGCUCUUGCCUCCUCUCUGUGGUAUCAGAAUUUGCACAAAUUGGAAUUUGCACGAAUUAGAGGUUGCAUCGGAAUUUGGCAGUUUAUGGUUUGGGAGAACGUGCUGGCCAUUCGGACUGAUAUUCGCAAUUAUAUUUGCAUGAACUUCUUCUGUGGUGCUCACCGUCUCAACCUCGGCGAUAUACCACUACCCAAAUUCUGAAACUGCUUGCUUUCUCUGAUCUUUUUGUCCUCAAGAAUCGGUUCUUAUGCAGAUGUGAGGAGGUAAUCAUGGCAAUUGAGUAUCAAAACUCUUCAGCCACCGUUCCCGCACAUGAACGGGUGGGCAGCCCUUAUUUUUUGCAUCAUUCUGAUAACCCAUAAUCUAAUCUCGUUGGCAUGGUCCUUACGGGUGACAAUUACAACAAUUGGUCUCGUGCCAUGGAGAUUGCCCUUUCCGCCAAGAACAAGAUGGUGUUUGUGACUGGAGAAAUAAAAAAGCCAGAUGCAACAAAUCCUGCCUAUGCAUCUUGGAUUCGUGUGAACAAUAUGAUUCUAUCUUGGAUCCUUAAUUCCAUCCAUCCAGAUUUGGUGCCAACAGUUCUUUACACAGAGUCAGUUGCGAAUGUCUGGGCCGAUCUUUGUGAACGUUUUUCGCCAUCAAAUGGUCCUAGAAUUUUUCAUCUCGAGCAAAAGAUAUGCACCCUUGCUCAAUGUGAUGAUGUCGUGACUAAGUAUUACAACAAUUUGCAAAGCUGCUGGGAUGAAUUGAAAAAUUUGGAUUUGUUACCGCAAUGCUCUUGUUCGGCUCAUUCUAUCAUCACCACACAACAAGAGAAUCGGCGCUUGUUUCAAUUUCUCAUGGGUCUCAAUCCGAGGUAUGCUAACGUUAUUAGUCAGAUUUUACUAAUGAAUCCGUUACCUAGUGUUGCACGUGCAUAUGCACUAGUUCUUCAAGAUGAGUCACAUUGCCAUAUCCAAUUGGAUUGCCCACUAUCUGACCAAACCAGCACUUUGCUUAGCACUCAUGAAAAUAAUGCUCCACGGCUGUACAUGAAUUCCUCAUACCAUGGACAACCCAGCUCUCUUGGUGCCCUCGCUCCGUCCGCUAACCUAGCUAAACGGAUGAACACGUCUCGCAGCCGAGAAAGAUGUGUCCAUUGUGGCAUCUCGGGACAUACACGGGAUGUGUGUUAUUGACUUCAUGGCUUCCCUCCUAACCACAAGCAAUGCUGUGGAUAGCCAUCUACUUCCUCUCGGCUUGCGGAUAACAAGUCCAGUCAUACUUAUGAUGCGGCACCUCCACCAUUCACAAAUGAUCAGUAUAAGCAGUUGAUGCGCUUGUUGCAAGAGAUAAACAUCGCGAAAGCCAACCUCUCAGGUAAUGUUCUUGGCUGAACUUCGAAUUCAUUUAAUUCCAAUACUUGGGUCAUUGACACUGGCACGACUAAUCACAUCACAUUUGAACCCCAUUAUCUUACAAACCCAACAUACUAUUCCUCUCCACAUCCCACUAUUGGAAUUCUGAAUGGUGUUGGUAUCCUUGUGACAUCACACGGUUUAGCCCCCCUUACCUCAAUUAUCUCUCUUGAUCAUGUCCUUUGCGCUCCCUCUUUCAAAUAUAACUUAUUGUCAGUUUCCAAACUCACUCAAACUUUAAACCGCUCAAUCAUUUUUUUAUCCUAACUACUGUCUUUUUCAGGACCUCUUGAUGAAGAAGAUCAUUGGUCGGGGCCACGAGCAUGGUGGUUGCUAUUAUCUGGAGAUUCCUACCGAACCUGCCGUUCUUUCUACUACAGCCUCUUCAUCUCAUCUUUGGCACACCCGCUUAGGACAUCUAUCUGAGUCAGUUUUAUCUACUUUGCAACAAAUUUUAUGUUUUAGUCCAGCAAAACAAUUCAGUCCAUGUGAUGCUUGUCAUUUAUCCAAGCAAAUGAGCUUGUUUUUUUUUUUUUUUUUUUUUUUGGUGUCUAGCACUAUUACUACUUCACGUCCUUUUGAGCUUAUUCAUGUUGACAUUUUGGGACCUUAUUCUCAUUUUACACAUAAGACAUGUCGUUAUUUUUUAUCUAUUGUUGAUGAUUAUUCGCGCUAUACUUGGAUUUUUUUGCUUACUUUUAAGUCUGAUGCAAUUGACUCUAUGAUUCGCUUCUUUACUUUUGUUGAAACUCAAUAUCAAACCAAAAUCCAAAAUGUUCAAUCUGAUAAUGGGACUGAAUUUCUUUCCUCUCGCUUACAAGAGUUUUUUUGUGCACAUGGUGUUCACCACUAACGUAGUUGUCCUCAUACCCCUCAACAAAAUGGAGUUGUUGAGCAUAAGUAUCGUCACUUGCUCAAUGUUACUCGUGCAUUGCGUUUUCAUUCUAGCAUACCUCUUCAUUUUUGGGGAGAUUGUGUCUUAACUGCUACUCAUCUCAUUAAUAGACUACCUAGUCCUCUCCUACACAAUAAAACCUGUAUGAACUUCUUUAUGGAAAACCACCUUCUUAUUCUCAUCUUUGUGUCUUUGGCUCAUUAUGCUAUGCUUCCACUGGUCAUCUUCACUCUGAUAAAUUUGGUCCCUAAUCUCGCCAAUGUGUUCUAAUUGGUUAUUCGACAAACCACAAAGGUUACCGUCUCUAUGACCUUCAAGACCAAACAAUUUUUACUAGUCGCGACGUCAUUUUUUAUGAACAACAUUUUCCUUUCCGUCAAACCAUCAAACACACCACAACCGAACAGACCUCAGUACUUCCAUUACCCAUACCUGACCUUGGUGAAACGUACCCACCUCCCUCCACCCCAGUCCUUGCACCGACCUCCACUCCUCAACCUCCUGCACCCACGAUCACACCAUCACCAACUGAACCCGAAGCCAUGCCUCGGCCAUCUUGGCAACGCCACCCACUAGGAUAUCUUCGGGACUACUACUAUGCUAUUGUGGCCUUCGAUCAAUCCUCUUCGAACUCUAAGGUAACUGAAUCAGGUAUUCUUUACCCUUUAUCCAACUAUUUAUCAUACUCGCGUUUUUCACCCACUCAUCGUGCCUUUUUAGCCUCCAUAUCCUUUGGACAGGAACCUCAAACUUAUGACGCUGUGUGUCAAUCUCCCAAGUGGCGGGAGGCAAUGUCUUCUGAGAUACAGGCUCUUGAACAAAAUAGCACUUGGGAAAUUGUUCAUCUUCCUCCUAACAAACAUCCCAUUGGAUGUAAAUGGGUUUACCGAAUCAAAUAUAAUUCUGAUGGCACCAUUGAGCGUUACAAGGCUCGGCUCGUUGCAAAGGAUUACACUUAAACAGAGGGGAUUGAUUAUCAUGACACAUUUGCGCCUGUUGCUAAAAUGGUAACUGUUUGCACUUUAUUAGCUCUUGCUUCAAUUCAUCAUUGGCCUCUCUACCAAUUAGAUGUGAAUAACGCUUUUCUGCAUGGUGAUCUUGACGAAGAGGUGUACAUGAGGUUUCCACCGGGUUUUCAUACUAAGGGGGAGAAUUUAGUUUGUCGACUUAAGAAACCACUCUAUGGCCUUAAAUAGGCAUCGAGGCAAUGGUUUGCUAAAUUCUCUUCUGCACUACUUGAUGUUGGUUUUCAACAGUCAAAGGCGGGCUAUUCACUUUUUACAUUAGUCCGUGGUUCUCUCUUGACUAUUGUCCUUGUUUAUGUUGAUGAUUUGGUUAUAACGGGUGAUGAUGAAGUUAUGAUUCGACUUCUCAAACGAUUUCUUGACACACAAUUUCGUAUUAAGGACUUGGGCACUCUCAAACAUUUCUUGAGCAUUGAAGUUUCUCGUUCCAAGUCUAAGAUUUUCUUGUCACAAAGGAAAUACGCUCUUAAAUUUUUGUUUAACAUUGGUCUUCUUGGUGGACGUCCUAUUGAUACUCCAAUGGAACCCAAUAUACAAUUUUCGCACUUCUCUCCAACUCUUAAGGAUCCAGGUUCAUAUUGACGACUUAUUGGUAGAUUAUUAUAUCUUACGGAACUCGUUUAGAUUUACUCUUUGCAGUGCAACAUCUUAGUCAAUUGUUGCACUCUCCUCACGAAGACCAUUGGAAUGCUGCCUUUCGCAUUGUGCGGUAUCUCAAGCAUGAUCCUGGCACUGGUUUAUUUUUCCCAUAUGAUUCAACUCUCCAACUUAAUGGUUAUAUAGAUUAUGAUUGGGCAUCCUGUUCUACAUCCCGACGAUCUGUUUCUUGGUUCUUGUCCUAUCUCAUGGCGUUCCAAAAAACAAAUCACUGUUGCCUAUUCCUCAGCAUAAGCCGAAUAUCGUGCCAUGGCGUCUGUUGCAUGCGAAAUCACAUGGCUUCACAUGCUUCUCUCGAAUCUCCAUGUCAACACUACCACUGCCAAUCUUUUUUGUGAUAAUAAAGCGGCCAUCCACAUUGCCACUAAUCAUGUCUUCCACGAACGAACCAAACACAUCGAGAUUGACUGUCACUUGGUUUGUGAAAAAAUUCAAGAUGGUACUUUGCAUACUCUUUAUAUUCCCAGUCACUCCCAACUCGCGAACUUGUUCACGAAACCGUUCGCACGUGAUUUAUUUUGUAAUUUUAAGAACAAGUUGUUGACAUGUUUACAUUCACCAACUUAAGGGGGAGUAUUAGCAAAUUGGGUUUAUACUAAAGGACAUAAUUGUCAUUGUAUUGUUUUAGCCCUAAACCCUAUGUAUAUAUUGUAAAUUACUUUAUCAAUGCAAGUAAGUUCGCGCAAUCUCUACACUCUACAAUAAGAUGCGCGUUCACGAAUGUCAUUGGUGGUUCAGUAUCUUUCUGCGGGUUCAGUACCUACCACAUGUUUCUUUCUCUAAUUUGGAACCAAUCCUUUGAAUGUGAACUAUUUCCAGCCAGAGUCACUUUUAUAGGCGGACCGAACUGGUUUAUGAAAUUCAUAGGCUAUUUCAUAGAUCUCUCUACUAGUGCGCUUGUAUAAUUAAAAAGAUUUAUCGAUUGCUUCCGACGAGUUUCAUAGAUGACACCUCUUUAGCGCUUACAAGUAUACAGCUCCAACUCUAGAGAAAGAGAGCGAAGUGAGCUAAUGGAGCCUUCAACCAAACUCCACCGAGCUCAUGUGCUGAUCCUCCCUUUCCCCGCCCAAGGCCACGUAAAUCCCAUGCUCCAAUUCUCCAAGCGCCUCGUCUCCAAAGGCCUCAAAGCCACCCUCGCCCUCACCGUCCACCUCGCCGGAUCUAUGCAGCCCGACCCCUCCUCGUCCAUCGACCUCGAAACCAUCUCCGACGGCCACGACCUCGGCGGCUUCAUGGGGGCCAAGUCCAUCGAGGCCUACCAGACGGACUUCCGGGACGUCGGUUCGAGGACCCUGGCUGAGCUGAUCCAUAAGCUCGACCGCUUGGGCCGACCACUCGACGCGGUCAUCUAUGACGGGUUCCUCCCGUGGGUGCUCGAUGUGGUCAAGCAGUGCGAUAAGCUUGGAGUGGUCUUCUUCACGCAGACAUGCGCGGUCAACAACAUAUAUUACCACGUGCAGCGCGGCUUGCUCCCGCUUCCGCUUCCGCUUUCGGAAGGCAGUGUCAGGGUCCCGGGGCUGCCGCCUCUGAAGCCGUGGGAGGCACCGUCGUACGUGUAUAAGCUGGGGUUAUACCCUGCCUUUUAUGAUAUGCUGAUAAACCAAUCCACGAACGUGGACGAUGCGGAUUUCGUGCUCUUCGACACCUUCUACGAGCUAGAGAAAGAGGUACGUAUGUACAAUCCCCUGCUGCUGCUCUCUCAUCAUAGACCAUGUACCGUUCAUUAACAUCAUACCAUGAUUUCUUUUCUCCCUCUUGAAAAGUUCUGUUGGAUCAUUGCAUUUGUUCAGUUCAAUUACGACUCAUGCUCUUUUUAUAUCGUUUAAAUGAUUAGUUCAAGAACAAUAUUUUUUUUAUCAACAAUAAUUUAUGUGUACAAAUUUUCAUAGCCGAUGAAAUAUAUAUUUUUUGUCUUUAUAAGCGAUAUAAGCGAUCAUUUUUAAGAAAAUAUCUUUCAAAUUAUACUCUUUUUUUCGAAAUAAACAAAGCCUAAGCGAAGAUUAGACUACGUCAAGAUACAUGAGCGCUUGGCUUGGAUAUUCGUCCGUGUCCUUCUACCUUAAUCUUAGAGAGCAUAAAUAUUCUUCCCUUCUUUGGCGUUUCUGCAUUUGGAGUCUUAUGGCCGAAUCAUAUGCUAGGAUGGCGUGCUCAUUUUCUUCAAUCGAUAAAGCUAAUUUAGACUUCCGAUGAAGGUGCUUUAAAAAAAUGGUGACGCCAGAAAGUUUUACGUGUCCAAAUUUAUGUCAUAAUAUUUAACUCUAUGAUUGACGUAAAAGGCGAUGUGAUCGCACCAUAUUUUAUAAGGAAAUAUGGUGAAUUGCGAAGGUGUCGAUUGUAUAUCAUCAAUUUGGUGCGUCACGGAUGCGCAGCGAGUACGUCACCUUGCGCAGAUUUUCUUUCACGCAAGGAGAAAUGGUUCACAAGAAACCAUAAAAAAUUAACAAUUUUUACUUCCUACGGAAUCCUUAUAUUCACGAAGACAGUCAAUUGUUCACUUUAUUUUGAAAAAAUCUAUACACGUGUUUUAUCCUGAAUUUAAUUAAGAAAUUGGUUAUUCAUCUCGACAUGAAAAUCGUUCCCUCUCUCUGUCUCACCGACUCUCUGUCUCACCGAUGAGAUUAGGUUGUCGACUGGAUGUCCUCCAAUCUGUGGCCGCUAAAGACCGUCGGCCCCACCCUUCCCUCCCUCUACCCGGACAAGCGCCUCCCCAACGACACAGCGUACGGCGUCAACCUUUUCACCCCGACCACCACCUCCACCGUCUCCGCCUGGCUCCGUCGCCACCCGCCCCACUCCGUGGUCUAUGUCUCCUUCGGCAGCAUGGCCGACCUCGACCCCUCCCAGUUCGCCGAGCUCGCCCACGGCCUUGCCCUCCCCGGCCACCCCUUCAUCUGGAUCGUCCGAUCUACCGAGCAGCACAAGCUCCCUC